rnacentral:lncRNA from 1 species
GGAAAAUCAAUGUAAAUAAGGCUCCUGUGGUUCUGCCUCUCCCUGUCAGAGCCCAGCACUUGAGUCAGAUGGACAAAAAAACUGCUCUCAGCAACUUAUUUAUUUUUUAAAACGAAUCCAGCCUACAGCAGGAUUACGUGGAUUAGCAGCUGAGCAUUCCCCUGCCUACAAAACAUGCGCAGCCAGCCAGCCAGAGACUCACUGACGGGAACCCUGUCCUCCAAACACGGCAUGUAUUUGCAUGGCUUCUUGGCUGCUCGCACCCAAGCCCAUCUGCUCAGCUGGUUCGGGGUCUGCCCACACCCCCGGGCUGCUUGGAACGAUGCCCCGGGGCAGGGGGUCCUGUGCUGUAGCUCCCUGCAGGAUGCUUCCCUUGCCAGCAGCUGGUGGGUGUCACGAAGCCUGGGGGCACUGGGGGCUGAGGGCUCUGGCAGGAGGCUCGCUGCUUCUGUGGACAACUGCUGGUGGAGCUGGUGGCAGGAUUUUGCAGACCCCUCAGGACAGGAGGGUGAAGCAUGGCCUGAAGUCAUCAGGAUGAAACCCAGGCUGGGUGUAGGGAGUAUCGGGGUGCAAAAGCACGGGUGUGGGGAAAGUGUCCCAGAAAGCACCUUGUGUGGGAGCAUCACUGGGGAAAAAGGGUGGGAACAGGUAGGAGAUCCCCCACCUGCACAGAGAAGACCCAGCUGCUGUCACAACCAGCCCCCUGAGCUGCCUGACAGGCUGGGAUGGCUCUGAGCCCCCGCAGAGCAGCACAGUGAUGGAGCUGGCAGCUCAGGACCCUCAGGAUCACAUCCCUGGGUGUGCAGCCUCCUGUCCUCCACGUGGCCCCCAGGGGCUGCAGCUCUGGGGGCACCAAGCAGGUGGUGGCAGCAGAAAAACUGCAGGGAUGACAGCUCUUUGCUGUGUCCUUGCUCUCCAUCCACCGUUGCUGCUGGGAGGAUGCUGAGCCCCAGCAAACGCUUGCAGCCCGUGGCUAAGCCAGGUCCCCUGCUCCCCGUCCCCUGUGGGAGCUGCGCAGCCUCCAGGGCUGAUCCCUGCUGCCAGCCCCGCUCCCUGCCUGUGCCUGCCCGCCUGGCUCAGGGGGAACAGCCCAGCCCCAGCCCCCGUGCCAGGGAAGCCCGCUUGGCUGAACAAGUUUUCACUGACACUUUUUUUUUAUCUAUUUAUUUAUUUAUUUUCUGCAAUGGAAGCAUGCCAGCAGAUUUGGAGCUGCUGUCGGCGGAGGGAGCCCAGCUCCCUGGGUACUCCAUUGGGGCUGCUUGGGGAGCACAGCCCCUCACCGGCACGGCUCUGCCUGCAGAGGGUCAGCUCAGCCCUGGCUGCAGCUGCUGGGGGGGUUUGGGCUCUGCCCAAGGGGCUCAGCACCGGCCUGGGCAGGCGCUGGUGACUUCCCUCCCCUCUGGCUGUGUCCUGGUGCAGGCAGCCUGGGGGCUGCGUCCCCCCAUCAACAUGGCCAGAGCCUUGCUGCUCUCCUGCCCUGCCCCUCUCUUCUUCCUAGGACCUGCCCCUGGGAUUAAACGACAACUUUCAAGAGGGAGAUGUAUGUGUGGAGCAGCACACCAGGAGCAGCACGGGCCCCUUCUGCCUUGCUCGGUGCAAGACGUGGACGUGGACAAGCCUGUGACUCACUGACUGGGGAACAGAAGGUGCUGAGCAGCUUUGUCAUUCCAGAUGCAUCAUCCCUCCUCCAAACAAGGCAGGAGCGUGUGCUAAUAAUCCGGGAUCUCGUAAUUAAAUACCCUGCAGCCUGAAUAUGUAUAAGAAGGCACAGUUACUGUUCCGAGGACUAUCUCACUUGUGACAUUUCUGUGGGUUAGAGUUGCUUUGCUUUGCAACUUCAGCGCUCACGCAGGGCUGGCUGUAUGCGGCUCGCUAUCAAUCACGGGUGUGAAAAGUCCCCCAAGCCACCAGAAAAUGGAAACAAUCUUGAAUGCUCCUGAAGUGAAAGCAGAGAGCCAUUCCCAAGACAUUCCUUCACCAGCAAAAUGGCUUUUUAAGGAAUUCAGACAGAAGAGGUAAUAAGGGAAAAGCUGUACAGGAAAAGAAAACCCCACCACCUGCAGCAACACAGCAUGAUAGGAAAAUUCAGGGUGGAAGGGACUCUGGAGGUCUGACAUGCAAGCUUCUGCUCCAAGCAGGGUCAGACCAGGCUGUUCAGGGACUUUUUUCAAGACCGGUUAGGUCUUGAAUGCCUCCAAGGACACAGACUGCACAACCUCCCUACGCAACCUGCUCCGACAUUUGACGUCCCUGUGAUGAAAACGUGUUUCCCCAUAUCCAGUCCGAACUGAUCCCAAAUCAGCUUGUGCCUGUUGCCUUUCAUCCUCCCACCCUCCCAGUGACCCCCGCUCAGGCGGUCUCGAAGCUCCCCAGAGCUUUCUGGCUGCACAAACCCACUGCCCUCCGCCUCUCCCCAAACACCCUCCAGCCCCUGGGGCUGCGUGGUGCCAGCCCCUGAACUGCCUCCAGUUUUGUGGUGCCCACCAUGACCCAACACACGUGGGGUCUCUGGGUGCAGUCUAAUGCGUGCUGUGCAGAGAGGAGCACAUCUCCUUCCCAAGCACCCUGACCGUAUGUCCUGCAUCUCCGGGCAUGGCCUCAGCCAUCCGGACAGAGCUGGGCACACGGGGAGGUGGCCUCCGAGGGCUACCCAGGGGAUCUGAGGACAAUCGGUGAAAACCCAGGCAGGAGGGGAUCAAAAUCAUCAUCUGGGGGCUCGCUGGGCAAACCAGCAACCGAAGCUGGUGCUGCAGCACCACCAUUUCCAAAGGAAGCAGCAGCCCAGGGGGAGGAUUCGUCCCCUGUGGGGCAGCAGCGAAGCCCCAGCGCCUGCCACCCCUCCCGAAGGCUCCCCGGGGAGGUGGGAGGAGGCGAUGCCGGGCAGGGUGGGGAUGCUCAGGGUGGGGAAGUCGGCUUGGCUGCAGCCUCCCCGUGGAAAGGAGAAAGUGCAGCACCGCCCUGUGCCGGGCACGGGGCCAGCGCGUCCUGCCCCGGCAGGCAGCACACCCCGUGCUGCAGGGACGCUGCUCAGCGCGCUGAGCUGCUGCCUGUCGGCCUGGGACGUCUGUGGUGGCCACGGACCCGAGCUCCAAGGAAACAUAUGGGGUGACCCCUCGGUGCUUUGGGGGAGCAGAGGACCGGUGGCGUGCACCAGCUGCGGUGGGAGUGCUCGAGGUGUCAAUGAGCAGCCUUCGGUGUGGCUUUACAGCCAGUGCUGGGCUUCUAGAAGUGGUUUUGGGGGAUGAAGUGCUCCCACCUCAACACACCAUAUCUAUCCUUAUGGAGCAGCUGUGGCAAAACCUCCCUAAACCAGUGCAAAGUGGGGUUCCUGUAAGUCUGUCCUGUGUAGGGGGAAAUGAUGGUGAUGAGGGUCUGUGCAGAGCUCACCCCGUGCCUGCAGGGUGAAACACAGGGCACUGCCAUUCUCUGUAGCCCUGUCUGGAGAUUCAAACACCACCUUCAGCAGGCAUAACCCCUUGGUGGCUUCCUCUCAGGUAUUCUCUGUGCUGAAGGCCCAAAUCUGCUGAGCUUUCCCACUGACCUCCUUCAGGCCCCUCUGUCUGUGCUGCCUGCAACGCGCAGCACAAUGGGGCUCUGGGACACCCCCUGCUCCCAGUGCCCCCAUUUCUGCGUGUACCCACCAACUGCUGGGACCGCCUGGGCGCGGGGCAGGUCCUGCUGCAUUUGGACAUCAUUUAGGUGUGAUACAGCUUGCAAGGGGGUAGUAAUUGCAUGGUGUAGAGUUCCUCCUCCGCUGUGUUGAGCAACCAUAAAUGAGGUUGCAUUGGCACCAUCAGAUGCAUUCUGUUACAAUAAAUAGGGAAAUGUGUGUUUCUGGGUCUUUUCU